rnacentral:rRNA from 1 species
UACGAAGGGGGCUAGCGUUGUUCGGAAUUACUGGGCGUAAAGGGCGCGUAGGCGGCGUGUCAAGUCAGGCGUGAAAGCCCCGGGCUCAACCUGGGAACCGCGCUUGAGACUGGCAUGCUCGAGUUCGGGAGAGGAUGGUGGAAUUCCCAGUGUAGAGGUGAAAUUCGUAGAUAUUCGCAAGAACACCAGUGGCGAAGGCGGCUCACUGGCCCGAUACUGACGCUGAGGUGCGAAAGCGUGGGGAGCAAACAGG